rnacentral:rRNA from 1 species
CGGAAGGACACCUUUCGGUAUUUGGGGUCAAUGUUGCAGGAGGAUGGUGGUAUUGAUGAAGAUGUGAACCAUCGAAUCAAAGCCGGAUGGAUGAAGUGGCGCCAAGCUUCUGGCAUUCUCUGUGACAAGAGAGUGCCACAAAAGCUAAAAGGCAAGUUCUACAGGACGGCGGUUCGACCCGCAAUGUUGUAUGGCGCGGAGUGUUGGCCGACUAAAAGGCGACAUGUUCAACGGUUAGGUGUGGCGGAGAUGCGUAUGUUGAGAUGGAUGUGUGGCCACACGAGGAAGGAUCGAGUCCGGAAUGAUGAUAUACGAGAUAGAGUUGGGGUAGCACCAAUUGAGGAGAACCUUGUCCAACAUCGUUUGAGAUGGUUUGGGCAUAUUCAGCGCAGGCCU